rnacentral:lncRNA from 1 species
GACGAAGGCGGGGGAUUUCCGUCCCCGCAGCCUCGGCGGGGGAACGAGACCUGUUCGCCGGCACGCGCGGAGCCGUCCCGGGGCAGGAGACAACAGCAAGAUCCCUUUCCAAGGAGAUUGGCACAGAUUUAUACACCUGGUCACCUCUCUGACACUGCUCCCACCACUGGACAGAAGAAGCAAAGCGUGAGGCUCCUAUCAAAAUCCAGCUGUGGCUAG